GGUGGAUUUGCCAAUGUCGGUGUUGACUUUCACACGUGAGGAGAAUGUUCGGUAUAAUAAUUUUGCAUUUUUGGGAGGAUGUAGUCGGGGAAACCUAAAAACAAAUAAUUGUUAUGAACAUCACAGACAAACACAUGACGAAUACAACGAUUAGCAAAAAAGCGGGAAGCGGAUGACAGAACGUUAGUAGUGCCAACAUGAAGGAAGUGGAAGAGAAGAAAACGAUAUAUAUAAUAUAGAAAUAUAGAGUUUAGAAUAAAACGAGUAUAGAUUGACAUGAAUUAUACGCAUUAAAUUAGAAGAGAUAAGACAAUAUUUAGAGUUUUAUGUUAUUUGUUUGUAAAUAUUUAAUUAGAAUAGAAGUUAGCUUAGUAUCCAUGUGGCAAAGAAGCGAGCUAAAGCAUAUAGGUCGUGGAACAUUUUCGGGUAGUACAUCGUAUAGUGAGUAGCUACAUUUUGUACAAGCAAAGAAGAUGUGGUCCAAGUUGCCCUCAUCCAACCCACAUUCACACAAUGAGUUCGCACGGACACCAAUCAUAGCCAGAAAUAACGGAGUACAUACUUUGCCUAAGCGUAAACGGCAAAUGGUGGAUAUUACCCACUUUGGAGAAGUACGGAAUCGAUAGAACCAUGGUUUUCGAGUAAUUCGAGGUUGUACACAGCCAUAAUGUUUACCAGUCUCCAAUCUAGAGAUAUCCCAUUGCCUCUGCCAUGUAUUAAACAUAUCAGAUAGUGCACAACUCAACAGGUCAGUACUGUAAGUUUCCCGUUUUAUUGAACCAAUCUCAAUCGCCCGUUUUGCCCAUAUAUCAGCCACCUCAUUGCCUCUAAUACCACAGUGGCUUGGAACCCAUCCGAGAACAAUAUGUAGGCCCCUCGAUUCACACCUACGUAGCACAGCUUUAAUUUCAAGAAUCAAAGGAAAUUUGGCUUUAAAUUUUAAUUGAUUGCCUACUAUUGCCUGCAGGCAACUCCUACUGUCAGAAAAGAUAAUUGUUUUUUUAAUGUUAUGUGUGUCUGCAUAUUUGACAGCCUCAAGAAUAGCAACUGCCUCACCUGUGAAAAUGGACGCUUGAGGAGGACAUUUAAAUGGAAGGACGAUAUUGUACCGUGGAAUCCACACCGCUGCUCCCACACAUCUUGCAGGAUCCACCUUAGAAGCGUCAGUAAAAACCGUGACCUCCAGUGCCAGCGCCUGCAAGCGUGGGAGCAGCAAGUGGUUGUUGUAAGAGCUGGCUUUGAUCAAGAACCUGUCGGCGAGGUAUUGUCUGCGUAGAGCCAACGGCGGUUCAACACCUUCCACCUGCAUGCCAUUUUUGGGAGAGGGAAGCAUAGCACCUAGUAUGAUCCUUAAACAUUUAGCCUGUAUAAGAUCUAAUUUAUCUAGACCAUCCUUAUUACAGGGUUCCAUUAAAAAUGCCCCAUAGUCUAUAUGGCUACGUAUGAUGGCAUUGUAUAGUAGCUUCUGGCAAUAAGGAUGGGAACCCCACCAGACACCCGACAAUGCUCGAAGAAUAUUAAUAUUUUUCUCACAUUUACCCAGUACAUAUUUGUGGUGUGAGGUGCCAGACAUUUUAUGAUCUAAAAUAACACCUAGAAAUUUUACUGACUCUUUAUUUGGAAUCAUCACACCACCAUAACGGACAUCUGCGUCAGGCAUGGUCCUUCUGCGACUGAAAGUCACUACACAGCUUUUUGUUGGCGAUAGGGUCAAACCAUGUUCAUCAAGCCAAUCCUUGAGGUAACCCAAAGCUGUAUUAAGACUAGCAGUGGCUUUGUCCAUUGACUUUGCUGAGGUGUAUAAGACUAGGUCAUCAGCAUACUGCAAGAUAUUACAGAAGGAUAGGACAGAUUGCUCCAAGUCGUAGGUGUAGAUACUGUAAAGCAGGGGGCUGAGUACCGAUCCUUGCGGGAGACCACGCCACAAAGUUCGAGGUGGGUAAUAGGAAUUACCAUUCCUAAUUUUAAUUGACCUACCCAUGAACAAUUUGGUGACAAUAUGUACAAUCUUCGCGGGAAUGCUCAGAUGUAGCAUUUUUGCCAUGAGCACCGGAAGAAGGACAUUGUCGUAGGCCGCAGAGAUAUCUAGAAAACAUCCCAGCAGAUAUUCGUUUUUUGAAAGGGUUAAGCAAUCGGGCGAUAUGAGCUAGCUUCGUCUGGGUUUUUAGACGGUUUUAGGAUUGGGAUAAUAACUUGGGUCUUCCAGUCAACUGGGAUCUCUCCCGUGUCAAAGGCAUGGUUUAGAAUACCGAGCAGAUACUCCUGUGAAGAUGAAUUGAGCUUAGACAGGAAACAGUAUGGUAUGCCAUCCUCUCCAGAGGUUCAGGGGACGGAAUUGGAAGAAUAGAAGAAGGCUUCGUGAUAAUAAUUGGGAAAUGGUCACUGCCGAACGACUGGCGUAAUACCCUCCAGGAUAAUAAAGAAGACAAACUAGGAGAACACACAGAUAGAUCGAGGACUGACUGGGGGUUCUGUCCUGGGUAUACCCGAUGCGUGGGAGUACCGUCAUUAAUAACUCCCACAUUGAUUUCAUCGAAUAAAUCCAACAGGGCUGAUGAAAAUGCAUCCGAAUGGUAUGACCCCCAUGACAUAUUGUGACAAUUGAAGUCCCCUAAAAUCAUAAGAGGAGGUGGAACCGAUUUGAGAAUAGAUUUUAAUUCAUAUAUAUCAACUACUUCAGGAUGGGGAAUGUAUAUAGAGAUGAAAUUAAUGCCCAUAACCUUGGCAGCUACGGCAUUAAUCCCAUCCGAAUGAGGGGGAAUAGAAAUUUGGGCGAAAGGGUAACCGCGUUUGAUGAACAACGCACAUCCGGCACGUCCAUCAUUGCGGUCUUCCCGGAGACAUGAGAAGCCCGGCACUCUGAAAAAGGAGCCGGGGCGUAACCAUGUCUCCGAAAUGGCCGCAACAGUCACAGCAUGAUUGUUGAUGAGCUGAAUAAGGUCAGGUUUCUUUGGUAUAAUGCUUCGACUAUUCCACUGAAGAAAUGUGACCGGGGGGGCCGUUAUGGAAUGUAAGUCUUUCCGCGAGUGUGAUCAUUAAGGGUGCAACGUCGUCUGGUAGGCAAUCGCUCCACUUAGCGAUUAUGUUUGUCAAGAAUUUUAGACAGAGCUCCAUUAGGUCUUCAUUAAGAGUGAUUCUAUUGUAAGCAGAAGAAUCUUUCAGAGCUUGGCCAUUGGGCAGUUGAGGUGGGGGAGUUCGGACAAUAUUGUUGUGAGCUACUCUAUCAUAACCGGGGGAGAGGGAGACCCUCGUCCGGGGCGCUCGAUAUACGGUCUUACGAUAUGAAGUGGUGGGCGGAGGGGUUGGCAUGAAAGUAUCAGGGUGG